rnacentral:rRNA from 1 species
AAUGGCAGGUCAGCAUACUGCCGUGAAUACGUUCCCGGGCCCUUGUACACACCGCCCGUCACACCAUGAGAGUUGGGAAUACCCGGAGCCUGUGAGCUAACUUUUAGAGGCAGCAGUCGAAGGUAGAAUCAAUGAUUGGGGUGAAGUCGUAACAAGGUAUC